rnacentral:rRNA from 1 species
CCCUUAGAUGUUCUGGGCCGCACGCGCGCUACACUGAUGCAUUCAACGAGUUUCUUCCUGGUCCGAGAGGAAUGGGUAACCUUUUGAAAGUGCAUCGUGAUAGGGAUAUACUAUUGCAAUUAUUGGUCUUCAACGAGGAAUUCCUAGUAGACGUAGUUCAUCAGACUGCAUCGAUUACGUCCCUGCCCUUUGUACACACCGCCCGUCGCUCCUACCGAUUGAAUGCUCAGGUGAGCCAUUCGGACUUUCAUCAUGCUGGUUUCCAGUUUUGAUGAAGGAAAGUCUUGCGAACCUUAUCAUUUAGAGGAAGGAGAAGUCGUAACA